CGGCAACGGAUAUCUCGGCUCUCGCAUCGAUGAAGAACGUAGCGAAAUGCGAUACUUGGUGUGAAUUGCAGAAUCCCGUGAACCAUCGAGUCUUUGAACGCAAGUUGCGCCCGAAGCCAUCAGGCCGAGGGCACGCCUGCCUGGGCGUCACACGCCGUUGCACCC
rnacentral:rRNA from 1 species